UACGGAGGGGGCUAGCGUUGUUCGGAAUUACUGGGCGUAAAGGGUGCGUAGGCGGGUCUUUAAGUCAGGGGUGAAAUCCUGGAGCUCAACUCCAGAACUGCCUUUGAUACUGAAGAUCUUGAGUUCGGGAGAGGUGAGUGGAACUGCGAGUGUAGAGGUGAAAUUCGUAGAUAUUCGCAAGAACACCAGUGGCGAAGGCGGCUCACUGGCCCGAUACUGACGCUGAGGCACGAAAGCGUGGGGAGCAAACAGG
rnacentral:rRNA from 1 species